GAUGAACGCUGGCGGCGUGCCUAAUACAUGCAAGUCGAGCGAACGGACGAGAAGCUUGCUUCUCUGAUGUUAGCGGCGGACGGGUGAGUAACACGUGGAUAACCUACCUAUAAGACUGGGAUAACUUCGGGAAACCGGAGCUAAUACCGGAUAAUAUUUUGAACCGCAUGGUUCAAAAGUGAAAGACGGUCUUGCUGUCACUUAUAGAUGGAUCCGCGCUGCAUUAGCUAGUUGGUAAGGUAACGGCUUACCAAGGCAACGAUGCAUAGCCGACCUGAGAGGGUGAACGGCCACACUGGAACUGAGACACGGUCCAGACUCCUACGGGAGGCAGCAGUAGGGAAUCUUCUGCAAUGGGCGAAAGCCUGACGGAGCAACGCCGCGUGAGUGAUGAAGGUCUUCGGAUCGUAAAACUCUGUUAUUAGGGAAGAACAUAUGUGUAAGUAACUGUGCACAUCUUGACGGUACCUAAUCAGAAAGCCACGGCUAGCUACGUG
rnacentral:rRNA from 1 species